UAUGUUUAGGUGCUACUCCUAAAACUAUGAUUUGUUGUUGUAGAAAAUCAAAAUUGAACUUCAUCAUUUAAGUUAAUGGAAGUAGUUUUUCUGUCUUUUGUUUUGAAACCAUCGUGUAGUACGAUAGAAUAAAAAUUGAAUUUAUAUAUGUUUUAUAUGUAUGUUUUCAAUACUUUAUUCAUGCAUAAGUCAGUCUACUAUCAUUAUACAGUUAUAAAUUACAACAGUGCUGUAUGGAUCAAAAAGUAAUUCGCAAGAUUUGCUUUAAGGAAAUUG
rnacentral:lncRNA from 1 species